UCGAACGAACUCUGGUAUUGAUUGGUGCUUGCAUCAUGAUUUACAUUUGAGUGAGUGGCGAACUGGUGAGUAACACGUGGGAAACCUGCCCAGAAGCGGGGGAUAACACCUGGAAACAGAUGCUAAUACCGCAUAACAACUUGGACCGCAUGGUCCGAGCUUGAAAGAUGGCUUCGGCUAUCACUUUUGGAUGGUCCCGCGGCGUAUUAGCUAGAUGGUGGGGUAACGGCUCACCAUGGCAAUGAUACGUAGCCGACCUGAGAGGGUAAUCGGCCACAUUGGGACUGAGACACGGCCCAAACUCCUACGGGAGGCAGCAGUAGGGAAUCUUCCACAAUGGACGAAAGUCUGAUGGAGCAACGCCGCGUGAGUGAAGAAGGGUUUCGGCUCGUAAAACUCUGUUGUUAAAGAAGAACAUAUCUGAGAGUAACUGUUCAGGUAUUGACGGUAUUUAACCAAAAAGCCACGGCUAACUACGUGCCAGCCGCCG
rnacentral:rRNA from 2 species